rnacentral:rRNA from 1 species
CAAAUGACUCUCGGCAAUGGAUAUCUCGGCUCUUGCAUCGAUGAAGAACGUAGUGAAAUGCGAUACUUGGUGUGAAUUGCAGAAUCUCGCGAACCAUUGAGUCUUYGAACGCAAGUUGUGCCCGAGGCCUUGUGGUCGAGGGCACGCCUGCUUGGGUGUCAUGGC